rnacentral:rRNA from 1 species
ACUCCUACGGGAGGCAGCAGUGGGGAAUAUUGGACAAUGGGGGAAACCCUGAUCCAGCCAUGCCGCGUGUGUGAAGAAGGCCUUCGGGUUGUAAAGCACUUUCAGUGGGGAGGAAAGGUUGAUGGUUAAUACCUAUCAGCUGUGACGUUACCCACAGAAGAAGCACCGGCUAACUCCGUGCCAGCAGCCGCGGUAAUACGGAGGGUGCAAGCGUUAAUCGGAAUUACUGGGCGUAAAGCGUGCGCAGGCGGUCUGUUAAGCGAGAUGUGAAAGCCCCGGGCUCAACCUGGGAACUGCAUUUCGAACUGGCAGACUAGAGUCUUGUAGAGGGGGUAGGAAUUCCAGGUGUAGCGGUGAAAGUGC